GAUGAAGAACGUAGCGAAAUGCGAUACGUAAUGUGAAUUGCAGAAUUCAGUGAAUCAUCGAAUCUUUGAACGCAUAUUGCGCUCUCUGGUAUUCCGGAGAGCAUGCUUGUUUGAGUAUCAGUAAACACCUCAACUCCCUUUUCUUUUUUGAAAUUGGAGCUGGACUUGAGUGAUCCCAACGCUUUCUUCCAAGAAAGUGGCGGGUUGCUUGAAAUGCAGGUGCAGCUGAACUUUUCUCUGAGCUAUAAGCAUAUCUAUUUAGUCUGCCUAAAAAACAGAUUAUUACCUUUGCUGCAGCUAACAUAAAGGAGACUAGUUCUCGUGCUGACUGAUGCAGGAUUCACAGAGACAGCUUCGGCUGACUUUGUAAACUCGAUCUCAAAUCAAGUAAGACUACCCGCUGAACUUAAGCAUAUCAAUAAGCGGAGGA
rnacentral:misc_RNA from 1 species